rnacentral:rRNA from 1 species
CUCCGUAGGUGAACCUGCGGAGGGAUCAUUACACAAUAUGAAAGCGGGUUGGGACCUCACCUCGGUGAGGGCUCCAGCUUGUCUGAAUUAUUCACCCAUGUCUUUUGCGCACUUCUUGUUUCCUGGGCGGGUUCGCCCGCCACCAGGACCAAACCAUAAACCUUUUUGUAAUUGCAAUCAGCGUCAGUAAACAAUGUAAUUAUUACAACUUUCAACAACGGAUCUCUUGGUUCUGGCAUCGAUGAAGAACGCAGCGAAAUGCGAUACGUAGUGUGAAUUGCAGAAUUCAGUGAAUCAUCGAAUCUUUGAACGCACAUUGCGCCCUUUGGUAUUCCAAAGGGCAUGCCUGUUCGAGCGUCAUUUGUACCCUCAAGCUUUGCUUGGUGUUGGGCGUCUUUGUCUCUCACGAGACUCGCCUUAAAAUGAUUGGCAGCCGACCUACUGGUUUCGGAGCGCAGCACAAUUCUUGCACUUUGAAUCAGCCUUGGUUGAGCAUCCAUCAAGACCACAUUUUUUUCAACUUUUGACCUCGGAUCAGGUAGGGAUACCCGCUGAACUUAAGCAUAUCAAUAAGCGGAGGAA